rnacentral:rRNA from 1 species
UGCGCAGGCGGGAUAUUAAGUCAGUGGUGAAAGCCCCGAGCUCAACUUGGGAACUGCCAUUGAAACUGAUGUUCUUGAAUAUAGUUGAGGUAGGCGGAAUACAGCAUGUAGCGGUGAAAUGCAUAGAUAUGCUGUAGAACACCAAUUGCGAAGGCAGCUUACUAAACUAUUAUUGACGCUGAGGCACGAAAGCGUGGGGAGCGAACAGGAUUAGAUACCCUGGUAGUCC